GAUGAACGCUAGCGGCAGGCCUAACACAUGCAAGUCGAGGGAGAAGCCCUUUCGGGGGCAGAAACCGGCGCACGGGUGCGUAACGCGUAUGCAACCUACCUUUCACAGGGGGAUAGCCCGAAGAAAUUUGGAUUAAUACCCCAUAAUAUUAUUGGAUGGCAUCAUUUGAUAAUUAAAACUGCGGUGGUGAAAGAUGGGCAUGCGUCCUAUUAGCUAGUUGGAGUGGUAACGGCACCCCAAGGCUACGAUAGGUAGGGGUCCUGAGAGGGAGAUCCCCCACACUGGUACUGAGACAGGGACCAGACUCCUACGGGAGGCAGCAGUGAGGAAUAUUGGUCAAUGGUCGGAAGACUGAACCAGCCAUGCCGCGUGCAGGAAGAAUGCCUUAUGGGUUGUAAACUGCUUUUAUAUGGGAAGAAUAAGGCGUACGUGUACGUUGAUGACGGUACCAUAUGAUUAAGCAUCGGCUAACUCCGUG
rnacentral:rRNA from 1 species